rnacentral:rRNA from 1 species
UACGUAGGGUGCAAGCGUUGUCCGGAAUUAUUGGGCGUAAAGAGCUCGUAGGCGGUUUGUCGCGUCUGCUGUGAAAACUCGGGGCUUAACCCCGGGCCUGCAGUGGGUACGGGCAGACUAGAGUGCGGUAGGGGAGACUGGAAUUCCUGGUGUAGCGGUGAAAUGCGCAGAUAUCCGGAGGAACACCAGUGGCGAAAGCGGCCACCUGGACUGUACCUGACGCUCAAACGCGAAAGCUAGGGGAGCGAACGGG